rnacentral:tRNA from 1 species
GCCUGAGUGGCUCAGUCGGUUGAGCGUCCGACUUCAGCUCAGGUCAUGAUUUCAUGGCUUGUGGGUUCAAGCCCCCUAUCAGGCC